rnacentral:rRNA from 1 species
GACGAACGCUAGCGGCGUGCUUAACACAUGCAAGUCGAGCGGUAAGGCCCUUUCGGGGGUACGACGAGCGGCGAACGGGUGAGUAACACGUGGGUGACCUGCCCUCAGCUCUGGGAUAAGCCUGGGAAACCGGGUCUAAUACUGGAUAUGACUCCAUGACGCAUGUUGGUGGGGUGGAAAGCCUUGUGCGGCUGAGGAUGGGCCCGCGGCCUAUCAGCUUGUUGGGUGGGGUGAGGCCCUACCAAGGCGACGACGGGUAGCCGGCCUGAGAGGGCGACCGGCCACACUGGGACUGAGACACGGCCCAGACUCCUACGGGAGGCAGCAGUGGGGAAUCUUGCGCAAUGGGCGAAAGCCUGACGCAGCGACGCCGCGUGAGGGAUGACGGCCU